UGAAUACGAGAUGCUACGGCGUCGAAGCAGUCUAUGUCAUACUUCCAAGAAAAGCUCGCACUGUCAUAAACAAAUAAUGCCUGUACCAUAACCGACACAGGUGGGUAGGUAGAGUAUACUAAGGGGCGCGAGAUAACUCUCUCUAAGGAACUCGGCAAAAUGACUCCGUAACUUCGGGAGAAGGAGUGCCUUAUUUAUAAGGUUGCAAUAACAAGAUCCAAGCAACUGUUUAUCAAAAACACAGGUCUCCGCUAAGUCGUAAGACGAUGUAUGGGGGCUGACGCCUGCCCAGUGCCAGAAGGUUAAAGAAGUUGGUUAGCAUUCGCGAAGCUGAUAACUGAAGCCCUGGUGAACGGCGGCCGUAACUAUAACGGUCCUAAGGUAGCGAAAUUCCUUGUCGGGUAAGUUCCGACCCGCACGAAAGGCGUAAUGAUUUGGAUACUGUCUCGGAGAGGGGCUCGGUGAAAUAGACUUGUCUGUGAAGAUGCGGACUACCUGCACCAGGACAGAAAGACCCUAUGAAGCUUUACUGUAACUUGAGAUUGAAAUUGGACUUUACUUGCGCAGUAUAGGUGGGAGGCGUUGAUAAUAUUCUUGCGGGAUUAUUUGAGCCAUCAGUGAGAUACCACUCUUGUAAUGUUAGAUUUCUAACUUUGUAUCAUUAUCUGGUCAAAGGACAGUUUCAGGCGGGCAGUUUGACUGGGGCGGUCGCCUCCUAAACGGUAACGGAGGCGCACAAAGGUUUCCUCUGAACGGGUAGAAAUCGUAUCUAGAGUGUAAAGGCAUAAGGAAGCUUGACUGUGAGACCUACAAGUCGAGCAGGGACGAAAGUCGGUCUUAGUGAUCUGACGGUGCUGAGUGGAAAGGCCGUCACUCAACGGAUAAAAGUUACUCUAAGGAUAACAGGCUGAUCUCCCCCAAGAGUUCACAUCGACGGGGAGGUUUGGCACCUCGAUGUCGGCUCAUCGCAUCCUGGGGCGGUAGUACGUCCCAAGGGUUGGGCUGUUCGCCCAUGAAAGCGGUACGCGAGCUGGGUUCAGAACGUCGUGAGACAGUUCGGUCCAUAUCCGGUGUAGGCGUUAGAAUAUUGAGAGGAGCCUUCUUUAGUACGAGAGGACCGAGAAGGACAUACCUCUGGUGUACCAGUUAUCGUGCCAACGGUAAACGCUGGGUAGCUAUGUAUGGAGUGGAUAACCGCUGAAAGCAUCUAAGUGGGAAGCCCACCUCAAGAUAAGUAUUC
rnacentral:rRNA from 1 species